rnacentral:rRNA from 1 species
GUGUCAGCAGCCGCGGUAAUACGGAGGAUGCGAGCGUUAUCCGGAUUUAUUGGGUUUAAAGGGUGCGUAGGCGGAUGAAUAAGUCAGUGGUGAAACCCUGCAGCUUAACUGUAGACUUGCCAUUGAUACUGUUUAUCUUGAGUUUGGUCAAGGCAGGCGGAAUGUGUAAUGUAGCGGUGAAAUGCUUAGAUAUUACACAGAACACCGAUUGCGAAGGCAGCUUGCUGGGCCGACACUGACGCUGAUGCACGAAAGCGUGGGGAUCGAACAGGAUUAGAUACCCUGGUAGUCCACGCCGUAAACGAUGAUCACUAGCUGUUGGCGAUACACAGUCAGCGGCAAAGCAAAAGCAUUAAGUGAUCCACCUGGGGAGUACGGCCGCAAGGCUGAAACUCAAAUGAAUUGACGGGG